rnacentral:tRNA from 1 species
ACUCUUCUAGCUUAAGUCCAAGCAUGUCUCUGAAGAAGAUAAGAUCUCCGAGAGUA